AAAAAAAAAAAAAAUUUAAAAAAUAAAUAAAAAAAAUAAAGCAGUGUGGGCGUUUCAGGAGACUGAUGAGCAUCCCAAGCAAUCCAGUGCCAAUCUGCGACAUUGGGUCGGUCUGGAUUUUGAAAAGGUAUUAUUAAGAUGGCACAGUUAGGUUUUGGCCCAACUCACUUGGGCUCAAGCCACCACACAAACCUCCUGCACUUCCUUCUCCGUCUCUUUAAACCUGUGCUCGGCGCCUCCAUUCACAUUCCGGCCAACGCAAGAGGAAAAACGGAAGCGAAAUGGAGUAUAAAGACAAGGUCAGAAUCGCAGUGGCCAUAGCUUCUCUUGCAGCAAUUUCAAUCCUUUUCACGAGUCAGUAUCGUAGACGCCGAAAGCAAAAAUGCCUUGCAAGUUCAUGCUAUUUGCAAUCCGACUCAAAGCCUCAGUUCGCUUUCAAGCGCGUUUUAGCUGAUAACUCCUUUUCUCAUUUCAAGCACUUGAAGCUUCAAAGCUCCACUAACAAGAUUUCUUCGAAUUUGCACCCAUAUGAACCGGAGAUUACAGCUUUCAUAGAGAAUCCUCGAGUUGAAUUUGAAUUUGAUAUGUAUACUAGCAUAGAUUUGAAGGAAAUGAAUGACGUCUAUGUUUGGGUUGAAACUGAGUCUCAGUUGAAGGAGCUAGCUGAUGCAUUGAGUAAAGAGAGGUUUUUUGCUGUUGAUACUGAGCAGCAUAGCUUACGCUCUUUUCUAGGUUUCACUGCUUUAAUUCAGAUUUCCACUCAAAAAGAAGAUUAUUUGCUGGAUACGAUCAAAUUACAUGAUGCAAUGGGAAUUCUAAGCCCAGUUUUUGCUGAUCCUACUAUUUGCAAGGUGUUCCAUGGGGCAGAUAAUGAUGUUCUCUGGCUACAAAGAGACUUCCACAUAUAUGUUGUUAAUUUGUUCGACACUGCAAAGGCAUGUGAGGUGCUGUCUAAACCACAGAAAUCACUGGCGUACUUACUUGAAACUUAUUGUGGUGUAGCUACAAACAAAUUGCUCCAGCGUGAAGACUGGAGGCAACGUCCAUUAUCAGCAGAGAUGUUACAAUAUGCUCGAACAGAUGUGCACUAUCUAUUGUAUAUUGUAGCUUGUUUAAUUGCUGAGCUCAAACAACAAGACAAUGGUAUGUUUUUAUCUUGCCAUCAUAAAUUUUCCACAAUUUUUUUUUUAUUUUUUAAUUUCCAAUGAUUUAUAUUGCUAUAGAUGUCAAAGAAAAAUGAAGGAUCGUACCAUUUAAACACGGUGCCAUUUAAAUAUGCAAAGUAUCAAUAUGACAAAACAAUAAAAGCUGGUCAUUGAGACUCGGAUAUUUCCUUUGUACUUAGGGAGAGGGGACAAUGGCUGCUUCUAACAGAUUCAUAGAAAAGGUUUAACUUUAGAAAUUCAAAAUUUAGGGGCAUUAUACCUCAGGAAAGUAAAAAGAACUUAGUAGAGGUAAAAAACAAUAAAUUUAUUCCUUGGCACUUGUUCAUCCAUUGCACAUAGUUUUAUGUCGAUAACCGUUCAAAACAUUUAUAACCACCUCAUAGCAUCAAGGAGCUAAAAAUGGUAAUGGACCAGAUAACUCAACUCACCCAGAUGGCAAAUUACAUUUAACACUUGAGGCUAGUCGCCGUUCAAACAUGACUUGUCUGCAACUCUACACUAAAGAGGUUGAAGAUUUUCCCGGUGAGUCUGCUGCAUUAUCAAUUUUUUCUCGACAUUUGAACGGUCAAGGAGGUUCAUCAGUUUCAUGUUUUAAUAGAGCAGGUCGUCUCAAGUAACCUUCC
rnacentral:misc_RNA from 1 species